rnacentral:lncRNA from 1 species
CCGAAGGGCUGUCAGGCACUCAAAUGGCCAGGAGGAACAGUGUACAGGUGAGGAACAGGGUGGAAGGUCCAGAGUGAGUGGAGAGCCACAGCUGGUCCAAACAUCAGCAGGCCCAUACAUCAGGGGUCCAUACAUCAACCAGUCCAUAUAUCAGGUCGGGGGUAGAGGCAUACAUCAGCAUGUUCACCCAUUAGCUGGUCUAUACAUCAGGGGUCUAUACAUCAGCUGCCCCAUACAUCAGUUAGUCCAUACCUAAGUGGGUGCAUACAUUAGCUGGUCCAUACAUCAGGGGGUCCAUACAUCAACCAGUCCAUAUAUCAGGUUGGGAGAGAGGCAUACAUCAGGAUGUUCACACAUCAGCUGGUCUAUACAUUGGGGUCUAUACAUCAGCUGGCCCAUAUAUCUGUUAGUGCAUACCUGAGUGGGUGCAUACAUCAGCUGGUCCAUACAUCAGUGCGUCCAUAUGUCAACUGGCCUAUACAUCAGCGGGUCCAUACAUCAGCUGUCCUAUACAUCAGGGAGUCCAUACAUCAGCUAGUCCAUAUAUCGGGGAGGGCAUACAUCAGGAGGUUCACACAUCAGCUGGUCCAUACAUCAGGGGUCCAUACACCAACAGGUCCAUACAUUAGCCGGUCCAUACACCAGCUGGUCCACACAUCAGCUGGUCUAUACAUCAGCUGGCUCAUAUAUCAGGGAGUCCAUACAUCAUCUGGUCCAUGCAUCAGUGAGCCAAUACAUCAAUGAGUCCAUACAUCAGCUGGUCUAUACAUCAGCUGGCCCAUACCUCAGGGGUCCAUACAUCAGGAGGUUCACACAUCAGCUGGACCAUACAUCAAUGGUCCAUACAUCAGCAGGUCCAUACAUCAGCGGGUCCAUACAUCAGCUGCACACAUCAGCUGGUCUAUACAUCAGCGGGGAGUCUAUACAUCAUCUGGUCGAUACAUAAGUGAGUCCAUACAUCCAUGGGUUUAUACAUCAAUUGGUCCAUAUAUUGGGGGGUCAUAUAUCAGGAGCUUCACACAUCAGUGGUCCAUACAUACAUCAGGGGUCCAUAUAUCAGCUGGCCCAUAUAUCAGGGGGUCCAUACAUGAGCUGGUCCAUACACAGGGGGGUCUACAUAUCAGCUGGUCCAUAUAUCAACUGGUCCAUACAUCUGCUGGUCUCUAGAUCAGCUAGUUCAUAAACCAGGGGGUCCACACAUCAGCUGGUCCAUACAUCAGGUGGUUCAUACAUCAGCAGGUCCAUACAUCAAGGGGCCCAUAUAUCAAGAAGUCCAUAUAUCAGGGAGUCCAUACAUCGGGGGCCUAUACCAUAUUAUUUAUCCUCCCCACAUCCCGCCGAUGCUGCCAUGGCAAAUCAUAGUAUCCUUCCACCAUCCACCCAACCCUUGGAUUGUGGGGAUGGAGGCUGGAGCAGCAAAACAAUUAUUUGGAUAAUCAAGGUUUGAGAUAGUGAGAACCAGAACUCAGAAGCCACAAGGAGAGCAGAGUGACAGGGACAGACAGGAGAGAGACACGGAAGGAAAAAAAAGCAACAAGAUUGGGUGACUGGCUGGUUGAAACAACAGGGGCUUGAGCUGAAGACAGGGCCACAGGCAUCCAUCAAAGAUAACUUCAAGUUUUGAACUUGGAAGUCUGGGGAAAUGGUGGCACCAUUAACUAGAUAGGGACAUUAGGAGUAGGAAAAAGGGAAGGCUUGCUUUCUAUUUGAGAAGAAAACAAGAGAGUGAAAGGUCCUUAAUGAACCAAGCCUAGACAUGCAUUUCAGAGAGUCUGUGAUGAUGCCCCUGGUACAGGCAGCCUCAAGAAUCUACUGUGGCUUCUUUGUCCCAUCAAGGCCAAUUCCGCUCCGCCAAUCGUAGUCUCCCUGCUUGGUUGAGAAGUGGACAGAAUGGCCUCAAUGCACACAGACAGAUUAUCAAGAUAACCAAGCAUGGGGGCUGGGGAGGGGCAGCCUGAGGACGAGGGAAGAUGCUGGGUGCCAGGGCGUGCAGCGGAGAGCAGCUCUGUGGCCCUCUGUCUCCAACUCAGGCUCCCGUUGUUUCAACCAGCAAGUUGGGCCAAGGACUCCAAGCUCCACCUCCUACAGAUUCAGGACAGAGAAAAGUCUACUCUUUAAAUGUUCACUGUGCAACAUACUUACAAAAACUUGCCAAAAGCAUGUGAGAGCUACUUUUUCCUUUUUUUUUUUUUUAAUCUUGAGCACGUAGAAGGGGCCCUUAUAUUUCACAGGGAUUUUCUCUUCCAUGGGUGUGUAGGCUGAAAUGUAAGUUUACGAAGAAGGCAUUUGUUAGCUAGGCUGGAGAAUUCUGACUUAAAGAAGAAGCAUGUAGUGGCUGAAAUCUCCUCCCACGGACUUAGUGAAAACUCUAGUGAGGGGAUGAUCACUGCCAUCAUUUCUUUCUGGCUUUGGAUACUGCCAGGCUGCUCAUGUGUGACAACUAAAUGUUGGGAUAUCUUCAAUGAAUGAACAAUGAACAAUGAACGAUGGGAUAUCUUCUCCUUAUAAGCCCCUCACUCUGAGUGUGUACUGUGGUUCUGUUCCUGCAAUCUUUCUGAUAAAAUUCUCGUCGCCCCAUUGCAAAGCAGUGUUCCCAAACUCAAGGCUAUGUGGAUGCCUAUCCCUCUGCAAUUCUGAGCUUGAAUAAAGAGAAAGCCUUGGAGAGCCAAGUUCACUUUCCUGACACCAUGACAACCACCCCUGAUAACGCCAUCACUCUUUUUUUUUUUUUUAAUAUGGAGUUUCGCUCUUGUCACCCAGGUUGGAGCAUAAUGGCAUGAUCUCAGCUCACUGCAACCUCCACCUCCCAG